rnacentral:rRNA from 1 species
AUGGAGAGAGAAGGUGUUGCUCCUGAUGCAGUGACCUAUAACACAUCCAUUGAUGGUUGUGGGCAUAUGGGAUAUAUUAACCGCACAUUUGAUACUCUGAAGCGCAUGAUGGAUGCAUCAUGUGAGCCAGAUUACGGGACCUAUUGUAUUCUUCUCAAGCAUCUUCUGAAAGGGAAUCUUAAUGUCAGUUAUGUAGAUGCUUCCGCCUUGUGGAACUUGAUAGAGUUGGAUACUUUCUGGCAGUUUCUUGAAAGAAUGUCACAAUAUUGUUUAAAUCCCACUAUGAAGACAUACAGUUCUCUCAUUGCAGGAUUUUGCAAAGCCAGCCGUAUUAAAGAAGCUUGUGUUCUUCUUGAUCAUAUGCGUCGAAAAGAUAUAACACCCAAUGAAGAGAUAUAUAUGUCGCUUAUCAAGUGCUGUUGUGAUAGAAAGUUCUUUGAGAAGGCCUUGUUGUUUAUUAACAACAUGAUAGAAUGCGGCUUUCAGCCUCAUCUUGACUUGUACCAGCUUCUUAUACCGGGACUUUGCAACGAGGGAGAAUUUGAGAAGGCUAAAUCGCUGUUCAGCGACUUGCUUGAACUGCGCUAUAAUCAUGAUGAAGUUGCAUGGAAAAUUCUAAUUGAUGGUUUGCUAAAAGUUGGUCAUGUUGGUAUAUGUUCCCAGAUGCUGUCUACCAUGGAGAAUACACAGUGUUGCAUUAGUUCUCAGACAUACGCUAUGCUUACCAAUGGCAUGCAUGAGGCAUCUGGCAGUCUGGUUGGUGCACUCCAAGGAGAAGCUAAUUGA